UGUCUGGUCAACCCCAACACAUUAUUUGUGCACAGGUUACAGUGUAAGCAGGGAAAGCUAAGCGUAAUAUUUUAAUACAUCCUGUCUGUCAUUGUAUGUCUUCUGUGUUUUCAGACUCACUGGCUGUAAACUCACAGACACAUCCUGUGAAUUGUUGGCCUCAGUUCUCAGUUCAAACCCCUCACACCUGAGAGAGCUGGAUCUGAGUUUCAAUGACCUGAAUGAUUCAGGAGUGAAGCUGCUCUCUGCUGUACUGGGGAAUCCCCACUGUAAACUGGAGACUCUGAGACUCACUGUCUGUAAACUCACAGACACAUCCUGUAAAGUGUUGGCCUCAGUUCUCAGUUCAAACCCCUCACAUCUGAGAGAGCUGGAUCUGAGUUUCAAUGACCUGAAUGAUUCAGGAGUGAAGCUGCUCUCUGCUGGACUGGGGAAUCCCCACUGUAAACUGGAGACUCUGAGGCUGUCAGGCUGUCUAGUCACAGAGGAAGGCUGUGCUUCUCUGGUCUCAGCUCUGAGGUCAAACCCCUCAC